rnacentral:rRNA from 1 species
GUGGGGAAUAUUGGACAAUGGGCGAAAGCCUGAUCCAGCCAUGCCGCGUGUGUGAAGAAGGUCUUCGGAUUGUAAAGCACUUUAAGUUGGGAGGAAGGGCAGUAAGUUAAUACCUUGCUGUUUUGACGUUACCGACAGAAUAAGCACCGGCUAACUUCGUGCCAGCAGCCGCGGUAAUACGAAGGGUGCAAGCGUUAAUCGGAAUUACUGGGCGUAAAGCGCGCGUAGGUGGUUUUGUAAGUUGGAGGUGAAAUCCCCGGGCUCAACCUGGGAACUGCCUCCAAAACUGCAUGACUAGAGUACGGUAGAGGGUAGUGGAAUUUCCUGUGUAGCGGUGAAAUGCGUAGAUAUAGGAAGGAACACCAGUGGCGAAGGCGACCACCUGGACUGAUACUGACACUGAGGUGCGAAAGCGUGGGGAGCAAACAGGAUUAGAAACCCCGGUAGUCC